AGAAAAAAUUCCUACUCUGUUUCCUGCUGCCCCUCAGACCUGACAUGUGCCAGACAGAGUCAACCGCCCUGUCAGAGCUGUUUCCUGCCCUCUACCUCUCAGUCAGGGACUCAACACACUCCCUGUCGCCCUGCUUUGUUCCUGGGGUUCCCUUACCCUCACCCUCCUUCCGCAUUUGCUUGGUGACCAAAUCCGGUGUCCCUGCCUCCCAAAUGCCUGAUUAGAAUAGAUGCUCCUCUUCUUGUCCCCACUGCUACUUCCUGAGUUCAGGUCUGAGGUCUGGGGCUUUUUACCUGAGCCCCCACACCGGCCUGGAUGCCUCCUGUCUUUCUUCCUCUGUAGGGGUAACUUCAAAAACAUUCAGGUCACUCCUGGUACUUCAGAGUGGCCUGCAAGUGAGGUUUUCCUGAACAUUUUUUUCAAAGCAUGAGAAUCUCUUUUUCCUCAGCUACCCUGCUCUCACUCAGUAACCCACCCCUGCCAAUGGAACAAAAUCCGCAAGGAGAAGUAGAGGGACUACAGAUAUAAUCCUUAAGGAAACAAAGUUUCUGGAAGAGUGUCCUGUAUCUCUAGUGUUUCCUGAAUUCUCUCAUAGCUAGGGACUUUUUUCAUAUAACUCAGGCAGAUUUUUAACUCCUCUCUGGCCCUCGUGUGAUCCCAGCCAACCCUGUAGCUUAACCAUGCUUCCUAAAACACAACUUUGCCCAGAGGUUGCCCUCGCUCCUAAUUCUUGGCAUUUAAGUGCCUGAACCUCUCUGGCCUCAGUUUGUCCAGGUGUCAAAUGAGGAUAAUAUAAACAAUCCUCAGGUUGUGGGAUUACUAUGAGCACUGAAUGAGCCCAGCUCAGCCAUACAUAACAUGGCCUUGUUCAAGGGAGUCGUCUGUCUCCUUGGGCAUAGCUGCCCCUCUAGUCUCACUGCCUGGACCCUUCCCCAGUUCCCAGCACUCAGUGACUGUGCCCUCCACACUGCUCUCUCAUGGCAGAUACUCUCCCUCACUUCCUGUGUGUGGCCUCAUGAAGCUUCCCCUAACAGUCUGAGCCGGGUGUCAGGGCCUGCUCCUUCUUCCUGACAACUUUCCAGAAUCCUGUCUAUGGUACUCCUUUUGUGCAAGGUUACUUUGGCUUUUUCUGUUUUGCAUGUGUAUGUGUGUGCCCAGUUAUUGCAGCUAGACUGGAAUCUCUCUGAAAACAAGGACUCUGUCCACUUCACCUUUGUGCUGUCCCCAGAGCCUGCCUCUGCCAGAGGAGACACUAGAUGUAAAUGAUGGCGAUAAACUGUCCAGUUUGAAUCAUCCAGGAUUCAUCGACUCUCUACCAUGAUGAGCUACUGUACCACGCUGGGCUUCAGCAGAUGAGUGACAUAGGCCCUGACCCGGAGUCGGUGCAUGCUAGUUGGAUAAGAAAGGCAAAAACAUUUCAACAGAAAACCCUGUGGAAAUUGAGACAAGUUAUCUUCUCAAAGUCCUGAACUCCCAUUCCUACUUCAGAAGGAACUCCUCUGUUCACAGCAGCUAAAGCUAGCCAAAGUCCAGUUCCUUCCCAAGGAAAUUCUAUUUGGAUGUUGGACGCACACCUUUCCAAGCAUUGUGUUCUUCAAAUUUUGCGCCAACCCUCUAUUUAAUCAUUAAAAGGACUGUUAUUUUAAGUAUCAACUUCCUCAGUAACAGUGUUCGACUGAAAUCCUACAGAAUGGUGACUUUGCCCAGAGUGUGACUUCAGUGAGCUGGGAUAUAGAGGAUGGAAAGUGUCAAGUCAGUACAGCAAGAACCCAAGGAGAGGAAAAUAAAGUAAGUGGAAGAAAGUAGCCUCCCACCUCCAAGGUGACCCGCAGGAUUCAUGGAUACAGUAUGCUAGCUGAACCUGAGACAGACUGAAACUGCCGUCUACAUUGUUCUAACCAACUGAGCCACAGUACUUCAGGGAUUGACGAUGGAACAAAAAGGCUCUGUAGUUCCCACUCAGAGGUUGAGCUGAUGGCGGUUGCUGUGUGGUUGGAAAAAACAGAAGGAUGGCUGAAAGGCUGGGGAUUUGAAACACCGACGUCUGGGACUCAGCUCAGGCUCUUCACCCUGGAAGUGCCUGUCAGGAGCAGAAUACCUGAUUGUCUCUGUCUGCUUCUAGAUCCAGACCUCAGCUGGCUGUGGCUUCAUUCCUACUUAGCAGAUACAUCAGCAAACACAUGGGUGAGAGAAGAAGGCUGUGAAACAAGAAAAUGAAUAAAAUUCCAAUCAAAGGAAGAAAUAAGGCAGCAAAACCACGUCAAAGUUAUCCCUGUAUAGUGCCGAGUGUGACGGCAUUAACGAGUGAGAAAGCACGGGCUCUGAAAAUUCCCUCUGCAGCCCACCUCCCACCUGCCAGAGGCCUCAGGUGCACCAGCCACAGGGCCACAACACUUCCACACACACCCCCCAACGUCUGUGGCCCUAUGUCCCAGCUCCUUUCAUAGCCAAGAGCAGGCCGCGUAGUGCUACUCUGGCUGCCUAGCAAUGUUUUUCUGUCCCAUGGGACUCACAACAGGAGAAAUGGUUGUGUGCAAAGGAGUGACAGGGGAAAGGAGCAGCCGCAUCCCUCCCUGGGAGGGGUCCAAGACCUGGACCGCAGUAGCAGCUGACACAUGGCAGGGAAGCCAGCAGAGGAAGAGAAAUACUUAGCAACGCUGCCACAGAAAGCUCCGGUGUGAAACCAGUGCAUCUGUACUGACUUCCGGGCAGCCUCCCAGCCCUGAGAUGGGCCGGAUGGCAAGAGCACACGGUCCUUGUACUAGCUCACGCGCACACACCCCUUCUUCUGCUGUGCUCUGGCAGUUUCUCAAAAACAGAUGCGGCUUCUCCCCAGGCUGGGACCUGGCUUUGGAGGCAAAGGAAGACGGUGGAUGUCACGGCACAUUACACACUGUGAAGUGAGGACCAGCACAAGUGCUGAGGCUGGUUCUUGUCCCUUCCGAUGAAGCUGAGGGCCCCUCAGUUCAGUCACGUGUGGCCUUCCCCAGCCUAAGGCAAUUUGGCGCCGGUUACAGACCCUGAGUUGGUAGGUAGACACAGUCAUGUCUGUGGCCUGACCCCAGUGCAGGAUGUCCUUGGAACCACAGUAGAGGGGACGGCCAUCUUGCCAGCGCAACCCAAGGAAAAGCCCCCGGUAAUGUGCUGGAACGAAUUGGAGGUCAACCAAUCACCGAGUGACAGCACAACCUGACGCGAAAAAGGCCCACCCGGACCUAAACCCGGAACCGCUGCAGCUUAAAAACCCCAACCCACCACACCCGGGCGUGACUUCCCUGACUCCUCUCUCUCUCUCCCUGAGUCAUGGAACCUCGCCCAAGACCCUUGUUCCCAAUAAAGCCUUUGACUGCUAAAAUUUUUAGUUCUUGACUCUUACCUUUACCCUAGCCUACCCCUAACCCUAACAAUAUACACAUAUAAAU